rnacentral:rRNA from 1 species
UGGGGAAUAUUGGACAAUGGGCGCAAGCCUGAUCCAGCCAUGCCGCGUGAGUGAUGAAGGCCUUAGGGUUGUAAAGCUCUUUCGCCGACGAAGAUAAUGACGGUAGUCGGAGAAGAAGCCCCGGCUAACUUCGUGCCAGCAGCCGCGGUAAUACGAAGGGGGCUAACGUUGUUCGGAAUCACUGGGCGUAAAGCGCACGUAGGCGGAUUGUUAAGUCAGGGGUGAAAGCCUGGAGCUCAACCCCAGAACUGCCCUUGAUACUGGGCAAUCUCGAGUCCGGAAGAGGUAAGUGGAACUGCGAGUGUAGAGGGUGAAAUUCGUAGAUAUUCGCAAGAACACCAGUGGCGAAGGCGGCUUACUGGUCCGGUACUGACGCUGAGGUGCGAAGCGUGGGGAGCAAACAGGAUUAGAUACCCUGGUAGUCCACGCCGUAAACGAUGGAGGCUAGCCGUUGGCGAGCAUGCUCGUCAGUGGCGCAGCUAACGCAUUAAGCCUCCCGCCUGGGGAGUACGGUCGCAAGAUUAAAACUUAAAUGAAUUGACGGGGUCAUAGCUG